UUCAUAGCAGCAAAAUAAUGUCAAGGAACUCAUCAAUCACAUACUCCAACGGGUAAACAACUAUAUCUAAUUCUACAAAGAUUGACUUUUUAUCUUUAAAAAAAAAUGGAGAUUUCUUGAUAAAUGAGCCUGAUUUCUACCUUAUCAUAUUAUUAAACAGGUUUCUUUUAGCGUAAAUUAACCCUACCAUCUUAGGUUUUGCUCAUAAUUAUACGUGGGUCCAUUAGUAUUGACAAUAAACAGCCCGCUCCAAAAAUAUAAAAGGCGUUAACAAAUAACAUAAAAUGUCCAAAAUACCCAUUGCAUAAAACGUCACUACCCACUGUUCAUCUCCUUUGUCUCUUCAACCUCUCCCCACACCAAUAGCUUAGGGUUAAAGUUUUUUUAGAUUUUCAGAACAUUGAACUUCCCCUUAUCAACCCCUUUCCCAAUUUUCCUUCUUUCUCUCCACUCUUUUCCUUUAUCUUCUUCGUCUUUCCUUCUCCUCUCCUUCUUCCCCAAACAACACGAAUGCCCUCACUCUCUUUCAACUCCAAGUCGACACUCACGGCAACCUCCUCUCCAACUGGACCAGCCACGACGCCUGUUCCUCCGCGUGGCAUGGCAUCAUUUGCUUUUCAUAAAACCGUACACCUCACCCCAUUACCAGAAACGUCAGUUGAGUUUCGUUUAGUGUUUAUCCAUGGAACCACUAUCAUUUCCACUAACAAAACAGGUGUAAAAUGCCCUUCCAAUAAGGCCAAAAAUUUGUGAUAUUACUCCAUUACUCCACUACAUAUUGGUUUUCCUAAUCAUGAUUAAGCACAAUUUUUCAGUCUAUAAAAUUCUACCCUGGAAAGCAAUAUUUACUAGCUUCAUCAAAUGAAAAUUGCAGAAGGAAGAUAAGACAGGAUAGGUUGAUCAUGAAGAGGGUACUUCUGAUUCUGUUUUUCCUGGGAUGGUUAUUGUUGCAUUGUCAAGCUAAUGGCAGAAGAUUUUUAUUGGGGGUGAAGAUAGAGAAAACAGGUAAUCAGGUUGCAUCUGAUGAUGAACCUGGCAAGUCAGGAACUGAUGAGAAACCGGUCACUGCUUUAGUUCCAACAAUUGAUACAAAAAGUGAUAAUGGAACUAGCAGCAAAAGUAACACAAGAAACAGCAACAAAGAUGAGAGCAACAAUGGCUAUGGGACCUUUGGAAAUCCAUCUGGAUCAUCAACUGGCCGCGUUUAAGAAACAAUGAGUUUUUCUUCUUCCCUUAAAAGUUUGAAAGAGCUUAAUCGCGCCAACAAUGAGUUCAUGCAAGUAACAGAGAUACUAAAAAUGUUUGGUUGGGUAAAAUUAUCCUUAAAAGUAUUGCUACAUCAUUAAAGUAACGGAAACACUAUGGGCCAAACUUAAGGAGGUAGGGUAAUUUAUCCUUUCUUUUAACAUCAAACAAAGCUGAAUAAGUUUAACCAUGAUUAUCAAACUUAAUUAACUAAUUAAGAACGAAAAUCAGCGAACAAAAAUGAGAUAUUACAGCUCAAAUCACAUAGUUAGUUUCUAUAAUUUCCUAAAAUUUGAAAUUUAGGAUUGCAUUAUUACCAAAUCAAAACAAGACAGAAAUCAUAUUCACCCAACGUCAAAAAAAAAAAAAUCCGAUUUUGUUCUUCACAAUUAAAUCGAAAAACAAAUAAGAAAUCUGAGA